rnacentral:misc_RNA from 1 species
CCGAGUGAAUCUCUUUUAGAGAUCCUCCCACCCAUUGUCUACUUCUUGUUGCUUCGGCGGGCCACGUAAAAGUCGUCGGCUUUCACAAGCGGACGAGCGCCCGCCGAAGAUUUUAACUCAUAAGUUUUGAAGUCUGAUUAUUUAUACCAAUAAAUAA